rnacentral:rRNA from 1 species
CCUACGGGAGGCAGCAGUGAGGAAUAUUGGUCAAUGGACGCGAGCCUGAACCAGCCAAGUAGCGUGAAGGAUGACUGCCCUACGGGUUGUAAACUUCUUUUAUAAAGGAAUAAAGUGAGGCACGUGUGCCUUUUUGCAUGUACUUUAUGAAUAAGGAUCGGCUAACUCCGUGCCAGCAGCCGCGGUAAUACGGAGGAGCCGAGCGUUAUCCGGAUUUAUUGGGUUUAAAGGGAGCGUAGAUGGGUUGUUAAGUCAGUUGUGAUAGUUUGCGGCUCAACCGUAAAAUUGCCAUUGAUACUGGCAGUCUUGAGUACAGUUGAGGUCGGCGGCCUUCGUGGUGUAGCGGUGAACUGCUUAGCUCUCACG